rnacentral:rRNA from 1 species
UCAUCUCUAGUUGCCAUCAUUAAAGUUUGGGGCACUCUAGAGAAACUAGCCGCAGUUAAUGCGGAGGAAGGUGGGGAUGACGUCAAGUCCUCAUGGCCCUUAUGUCCAGGGCUACACACGUGCUACAAUGGGCGGUACAAAGGGUCGCAAACCCGUAAGGGGGAGCAAAUCCAUCGAAAGCCGUCCUCAGUUCGGAUUGAGGUCUGCAACUCGACCUCAUGAAGCUGGAAUCGCUAGUAAUCGCGGAUCAGCAUGCCGCGGUGAAUACGUUCCCGGGCCUU